ACGCAGACGCAAACAUGUGUGGCCAAAGGACAGGGCGGCGACCCUCGGCAUUGUUCGAAUUGAAAAGGAAUCAUCGCGGACUCGGGCGAGCGAUUUGCAUACGCAGGACGAAGGACGCAGGACGAAGACCAAACCACCACCACCAACUCCUUAUCUAUUUGCCUGAGGUCCUCGGGACCAGCACUUUAUUCAAAUUUCUAGCCGAUCUGGUCGUGUGAAGUUUCGUCUUGAGAAGAUUUUGCCCCGAAACGAAGGAUGCGCGACGGCUGCGUGUCUCUCGGGGAAUCGAACGAAAGGAGCCUGGGAACAUCCGCGAAGGACACGCAGGCGGAUUGUCUCUGUACUCAUUUGCCUAGACAUUGGAUCUUGGAAAUGUCUAGACAAUGGAUAGGAAAUGGGUGGCGAUACUAAUUAGUACUAUCUGUUUACUAUCCCAGCCUUAGCAUAACGAUAAUAAUAUGAUACACGUAUUUAUGUAUGAGUAUUAUUUACUUAAACAUACACCU
ensembl:ncRNA lncRNA:CR44529 long non-coding RNA:CR44529